CUCAAAAUAAACAGCCUCUACCUUGCGAGCCGUCUUCCCCAGGCCUGCGUCCGAGUCUCCGCCGCUGCGGGCCCGCUGCGACGCGGAAGAUCUGACUGCAGCCAUGAGCAGCAAUGAGUGCUUCAAGUGUGGACGAUCUGGCCACUGGGCCCGGGAAUGUCCUACUGGUGGAGGCCGUGGUCGUGGAAUGAGAAGCCGUGGCAGAGGUGGUUUUACCUCGGAUAGAGGUUUCCAGUUUGUUUCCUCAUCUCUUCCAGACAUCUGUUAUCGCUGUGGUGAGUCUGGUCAUCUUGCCAAGGAUUGUGAUCUUCAGGAAGAUGGUAAGUAUUUAACACUUCCUUUUCAUACCCCUCUAGAGCCUGGAGAGGUGAGCACAUGCAACUGUGUAUAGCAUUUCCACCUUUGAGGUUUUGUAUUGUAUAAUUUAAAACGUAACACUUUGUAAAGGUUUUAUAGUCUUGGCCUGUUUCUUUUCCUUAUUGUUGAAGCCUGCUAUAACUGCGGUAGAGGUGGCCACAUUGCCAAGGACUGCAAGGAGCCCAAGAGAGAGCGAGAGCAAUGCUGCUACAACUGUGGCAAACCAGGCCAUCUGGCUCGUGACUGCGACCAUGCAGAUGAGCAGAAGUGCUAUUCUUGUGGAGAAUUCGGACACAUUCAAAAAGACUGCACCAAAGUGAAGUGCUAUAGGUGUGGUGAAACUGGUCAUGUAGCCAUCAACUGCAGCAAGACAAGUGAAGUCAACUGUUACCGCUGUGGCGAGUCAGGGCACCUUGCACGGGAAUGCACAAUUGAGGCUACAGCCUAAUUAUUUUCCUUUGUCGCCCCUCCUUUUUCUGAUUGAUGGUUGUAUUAUUUUCUCUGAAUCCUCUUCACUGGCCAAAGGUUGGCAGAUAGAGGCAACUCCCAGGCCAGUGAGCUUUACUUGCCGUGUAAAAGGAGGAAAGGGGUGGAAAAAAACCGACUUUCUGCAUUUAACUACAAAAAAAGUUUAUGUUUAGUUUGGUAGAGGUGUUAUGUAUAAUGCUU
rnacentral:sRNA from 1 species